UUUUUUUUUUUUUUUUCAUUUUGAGCCAGUUGAGGAUUUCCAUUUUCUUAAAGCUGUAGAUUUGAGGAUUUGUUUUCCAUUUUGUUUCUUGGGUUUGGCUUGUUAGAUUUUGUUUUUUCGUUUCAUUCAUCUUUUAUUGCUUGGUUCUUCAUUCUCAUUUUCCUUCUUUGGAGUUGAGCAUUCAUUUGUCAGUUUUGAUUUUCUUUUAAUUUACAUUCUUCUAUUCACUACAAAAAAAUGUUUUAUUUAGCCACACAUAAUUAGACACACUUAAUUAAGUGUGGUUAAUUAUUAAUCAAGAUAAUUACUAUAAUGUGUUUAGCCAUACUUAAUAAGUGUGGGGAAAAUAGCCACACUUAUAAGUGUGAGGAAAAGAUAGCAAAAAGAUUAAUAAAAUGGAUCGAUUUAACCACACAAAUCAAUAAUCACUCUAAAACUAUUUACACAUACAACCCCUCUUGCAUGAGACUGUCUCACUAUCAGACGGGCCCUUAUAAUUAGCCCAUUACUUUAGUUGAUUAUUUUAAGAUCGUAAGUGAACAUUUUAAGGUUAUAAAUAAUCACUAAACUUUAAAAAGUGAUUAUUUAUAAAAUUAUAAGUAAUCAAGACCUUCUCAUUUAAGAAUUAGUGUUUCACAUAUUAUUGUUUAGAAUCAACCAAAAACAAACAAAAAAAUUAGCCAUACUUGAAAUAGAAAAAUCAGAAACCUCCAAAAAAAAAAAAAAAAAAAAGAGGUAAUAAUGUGGGAUGACUUGCAAAUUGCCAAUUUCCUAGUAAAAUGCAUCCCUAAAACGCAUCUUUCCAAAACUACCUGCAUUUUCAUAGACCACUAUCAUAAAAAAUCAGAACUACCAUUUUCAUGAAGAUUUUUUCUCAAAAACCAUCUUGCAGACACCUAUCUUGAAAAUUUCUCCAUUGCAGAACUCCUCUCUAACGCCAUCUUCAGCGGAUAGACUAACCUCUUUUGAAGACCUAAAUAACAUGACUAUCCGAAUGAAUCGAAACUGGUAACGGAACUUCUGAAGACGGUUCAUAGCUUGAAGAAUGAUAUAGUUGUCCUAACGACAAAAGCUGACGAAUAAGCUUCACAACAUGGAUCGAUAAGAAUAUAUUUUAAUAAAUUAAUCUUUUAUUGUGUCUUAAUAAAACUCUUAUCUACAGAAUUGUAAUUCGUUAGAAGAUACAAGGCAAAAUGGUGUGUCACCAACAUUUGAGGAUGCUAACUCAGUCUCCAAAACAGGUAGUGUAACAUGAACGUGGUGUACACCCAUCUGUUAAUGGUACAAGUACUCCUCUUUCUUUUAAGAAAAAACUAUUUCUUUGUGGUACAACUACUCCAAAUUCUACGGAAGCUGCUAGGAUGGAAUCAAAUCUUCUACAACCAAGCCCUCUAUCUCGUGGUGGUACAACUACUCCAAAUCCUGCUCAAGUAUUUAGGAUUCAAUCAAAUCCUCUUCUACAACCAAACCCUUAUCCCGUGGUGGUACAACUACUUCAAAUUCUACUCAAGUAGCUAGGAUUCAAUCAAAUCCUAUUCAAAACGAGGGACCAUAUGAUCAGGGACAAGCCAAAAGAUCAAAACAAAAUGAGUUGACUAUUCCUGAAUUGGAGAAAGUGAUUGAUAAAGUACUUAAAGGAGAAUCCUGAACCAGUUAGAAAAUUCAUUCAUGGAGAGAAAACUAGAAAGGAGAUAGAUGUCACUUUGCUUUCUAGCUGGCUUCACUUUUUUCAUUUCUUUCUAAAUAAAUUGCUUUAACUCGAUAUCUAUAUCAUUGUCUAUUCGUAGGCAAUGAAUGAGAGCAAAACAAAGCUGAUACAGAAUUGUUGGACAAGUUGCCGUGGAUCAAGUGACUAUAAUAGAACAAAUACAAAAGUCACAAGUUUUAAACACAAGCAAUGAAAAGCAAUUAUGAUGACCCAAUUGUUUGUGUGUAGCUGGUACUCUAAUUAGACUGGUUAUGUGUUGCUGGACAUAAAAUAACUCAUGUGUUGCUGUCACUGCGUUGGUUGUGUCUUGCUUAUUGUGCAAAUUAAAUCGUGUGUAUAUUGAAACUACUGCCACUACCUACCGUUGAUGAGGGUGUAAUGCAACUCAUAAUUACUACUACUAUACUGAUGAUAUUUGAGUUUACUUUUGCUAGCUAGCGUUGCCUUAGCUUGCUAAUGCAUGUACUGCUGCUGUGUAGUGUUCUAAUACUACUAUAUUUUGAUACAACUUUAUCAUUAAUUGGUUUGUAUGAAUUCGACCUACAAAUAAAAAAGGUUAUUUGUCAUUAUUGAUCUUUAUUUGUUUAA